GUCCCUGUGGAUCAAGGCAGAUCGCUCCUGCCCUAUUAAAGUUCGGCCAUUCCGCGUAUGACAAAUUAGUGGAGAGACGGGCGUUCGAGUCGCUCCGGGGACA